rnacentral:rRNA from 1 species
GAUGAACGCUGGCGGCGUGCCUAAUACAUGCAAGUCGAGCGAACAGACGAGGAGUUUGCUCCUCUGACGUUAGCGGCGGACGGGUGAGUAACACGUGGAUAACCUACCUAUAAGACUGGGAUAACUUCGGGAAACCGGAGCUAAUACCGGAUAAUAUAUUGAACCGCAUGGUUCAAUAGUGAAAGACGGUUUUGCUGUCACUUAUAGAUGGAUCCGCGCCGCAUUAGCUAGUUGGUAAGGUAACGGCUUACCAAGGCAACGAUGCGUAGCCGACCUGAGAGGAUGAUCGGACACACUGGAACUGAGGCACGGUCCAGACUCUUACGGGAGGCAGCAGUAGGAAAUCUACCGCAAUGGGCGGAAGCCUGACGGUGCAACGCCGCGUGAGUGAUGAAGGUCUUCGGAUCGUAAAACUCUGUUAUUAGGGAAGAACAAAUGUGUAAGUAACUAUGCACGUCUUGACGGUGCCUAGUCAGAAAGCCACGGCUAACUACGUG